GUCGGAGCAAGCUUCCCGACAGCUUCCUGGCUAGGUUGAAGGAAAUCUUGCGGGACAUGCUGAACAGCAUUGAGAAGCGAGAGCAAUUUGUUCAACUGCAGCAAGCACUUGCAGCUCGGACAGACCUAACCACCGACGUCCUAUUGCUAGCUCAUCGGAUCCGCGUGCCGGGAAUGUCCUGCUUUUCCCACAUCUUUUCCUGGAGGUUUUCGUCCGACUGAGAUCGAACGUAUUGCAGAAUUUUUCCGAUUUUUUACGGUUCACACUUUCUCCACCCCCUGCGAACUUUGCCUCUAAGCUUUGCGGGACGUAUGGGAUUAAGCGACAUUGUAAUCUCACGUUUCUGCUGAACGUGUUGAUAGUCGUAGACUGUGACUUUUAUAGACAACCAUUUGAGACCGCGGUAUUUUCUGCGUCCGUGCCAGCCAUUUCCAAGAUAAGUAUGUCAGUUUAGUCUGCAGCUGUCUUACCAAGGACUGCAACCUCCUCAGAUUUUCGUAUUCUGGAGUUCUCCUCGCAGUCUUAUCAUUUACCUCGUGAUUCUAUCCCUCAAGUACACGAUGAUGAUAUGGAGAGAUCAUCUCCGACAAUUGGCGGUGGCGAGAGCAGAAUGAUGUUGGUAGAGUCGCCGGAUAUCCAGAUCAACGUAUUGGUCCCUUUCGCAGGCCAAGUUAAAUUGGUUGCGAGUCAGGAUCACCUGUUCUGCGCAUCAGCCGUAGGAAGGCUUGAUCGGUGAGAAAAUGGAAGAUUUGGAAAUCAACAUUCAAGAAUUGAAGCUCUCCACUGUGGACAUUGUGCAAAUUAGAUUUACACGUCAUUGUACUCCGCUUCUUACUACAAUCUGGGCUCAAACUCGUUAUUACUAAUGCGGCAUUACCGAAAUUGCAGCGCCUUCGGUAGUCCACACGAGCAAGUUCGGAGGGCGGUGCUGAUUAUUUCGAGUUCCUGGACUCGUUUCCAGUUUUGUCACAGGAUUCCAGAUCCAGUCAGAAUGAAGUUGGUGAACUGCACCAGAUUUUGCUGGCUGGCUUCGUAUUCAAUUCUAGCGCAUUGCUUCGUAGUCGCAUUCGUGAAUUAUUGAUUGUCAUUUUGCAAAUUUGACAGCAGACCUCCGUAAAAAAUUGAUCCGCUUCAUAUUUCUGCGAAGUGCAUGUUUCUCGUCGCCUGGAAAAGAAAGCUGUUUGGGACAUAAUGGAUUACUGGUAAGAAGGGAAACCCUAGGCAGUGCUGUUGCAGUAAAUUGGUUUUAAUAUCAUUCGACUUCGAUAGUAGUCUUAUCAGCAAUCAAAUUAGUACUCUCUAGACAUACGCUAAUUAUUUACUUGCCAUGUAAUAUUGAGCGCUCUACGAGCUUUCUUCGUGAUCGUAG